rnacentral:lncRNA from 1 species
AGUAUCGCAGGUGACCUGGUGGGUACCAUGCUUGGCAUAACACACAUCAAUAGUGUGGCCGCCACGACCGCAAUAAGAGCACAACUUCAAAGAGGAACCACGACCGCAAACCAUGCUAGGAAAAGAGGAGACAUGAUCGUGAUGGAAAGACGGCUGCCGAGAGUUAACAAUGGUAGCAAUGGAUCUCUGGUCAUCCAAAAAACCUGUGAAUGCUUGCGAUUUCCGCUUGUGUUAAUUGAUGAGCGCAAGCACCUGUGUUACUGUGGCAAUGGGUCGAGGAGAAGAAUUUAGGACCAGACCACGGUAAAUCUCUCAUCUAAGCCUUUUGGAAAUUGGAUAAUGAAAUCGUAAGACCGUUAUAUUUUUGUUGGACAAGAAAAAAUAGAGAGAAGACGAUAAUUGUCAAGCUCUUCCUGCAAAGACUUCAGAGAGGUACAGAAUUCAGUGAUAGAGAGAUUGCCUUGCUUAAGUGCGUAAAUUUUCUCUUUUAAUUCAGCAAUUCAAAGGAGGUCACUUUGAGAGAAACGCUCCUUCAAAUAUGUCUAGACAGAGAAAGCAGUAGAAAAAUAGAGAACACUCUGACUUACGGAGGGAGACAGAGAAUUGAAGAGCCAUAAUAAGACUAGAUUGUUACAAUGUUCUUAAGCUGCAAACAGAGGCUCUUCAGGUAAAGGAGAAGGUAUGGAACCAAUAAGAAAAUCAUAUUUAUUUUCUGAAAUAAUUGCCAUAGUAAAUGAAUGACUCCAUGAAUGAUAAUUGCUUCUUAUAAGAAUAAGAGUAACUAAAACAGAAGUAGAAUUUUCACUAGGAUGAACGUAAUCAAGAUUACUAGGGUCUUCAGAAAAAUUGGAAGACUAAUCAUUCAUGAUGGAAGAGGAAGGAGGAAA